rnacentral:rRNA from 1 species
UACGGAGAGGGCUAGCGUUAUUCGGAAUCAUUGGGCGUAAAGGGCGCGUAGGCGGGUUAGUAAGUUAAAAGUGAAAUCCCAAGGCUCAACCUUGGAACUGCUUUUAAAACUGCUAAUCUAGAGAUUGAAAGAGGAUAGAGGAAUUCCUAGUGUAGAGGUGAAAUUCGUAAAUAUUAGGAGGAACACCAGUGGCGAAGGCGUCUAUCUGGUUCAAAUCUGACGCUGAGGCGCGAAGGCGUGGGGAGCAAACAGG